UACAGAGGUCUCAAGCGUUGUUCGGAUUCAUUGGGCGUAAAGGGUGCGUAGGCGGCGCGGUAAGUCGGGUGUGAAAUCUUGGAGCUUAACUCCGAAACUGCAUUCGAUACUGCCGUGCUUGAGGACUGGAGAGGAGACUGGAAUUUACGGUGUAGCGGUGAAAUGCGUGGAUAUCGUAAGGAAGACCAGUGGCGAAGGCGGGUCUCUGGACAGUUCCUGACGCUGAGGCACGAAGGCCAGGGGAGCAAACAGG
rnacentral:rRNA from 1 species